AUUAAAGACAAAACUCAAUUAAAACAACGAAGAAACGAAAGAUACAAUACUAUAAUUCAAAAAAGAUUUCAUGUCAUACAACAGAUAAUUAUUUUUUUAAUAUUUAAAAAAAAUAUUACAUCUGAUGGAGGCGGCUGGUACUUUGUACAAAAUUUAACCAUUUCAUUUUUUAAGUUAGAAAAUUUUGUGUAUUAACGGAAUUAAGAGAUAACUAAGGGAAACUUAAUUAGUUUUACUACCCGUUUGACUAUACGUUUCACCUUUUAUAAUCUGAACACCAAAUUUUUGUAUAUCAUAUCAGUGGCGAGUAAUUUAAUCACUGUACAUCAUCUAUCUGGGCCACCAUUACGUCGGUUCGUCCGAAAAUAUCACCAGCACGGAAUGUCACCAUUUGACAUUUCAGUCCGUGCGUCCGAGAUUGUAAAAGAAAACCCAACACUGCUUGUCCGACCGCAGUGAGUAUACGGUAUGAUCUCAUCAUAAUCAGGUGACACCGGGCAGAUAGAAGCCGAUCGGCAAGAUUAGCCAUGAUGGAGAUACACCGAACCGUCCGUCGACUGACAACCAGCCCGAAAAUCACUCCCGAUGGCGUACUCGAAACAGUUCAUUUAUGCUUAGAUUUAUGAACCAUACGAAAACCACUCCCGGCCAGUUGAAACUGAUGGUGGAGAAUUUGGCAAAUAAGCAAGGGGAUGCGAUGGUUUUGUCUAAUUGCAGGAAUUUAUCCUACACCUUCCUGGGGACAAGAAGCAGGUGCCACUAAUGGGGCAAAGUGAGUGUGGACAGCCGUUGUUGCAAAAAAGGACGCUUACGCCCCAGGGGCAGUGCGAACGUUUAUCCGGAUCCGGCUGAAUGGCAGCCCAAAAUCCGAACGUCAACUCUCCGGAUUAGUGAUAGAGCAUCUUGUUCGCCGACCGUGAUAAAAUGAAAAAUUAUGCGCAUGAAAUGGAGCAAGGUGUAAACAAGAUUUCGCUACCAAUAUCUUAUGCCAACUUCUUGCGUAGGUUUCUAGACGAUUGGGGUCGGGGAAUUUUUGGGCAGAAUAUUUCGGGGAGGUAAAAGAUACCUCAAAACAUAGCUAAAAAUAAUUGACAUUUUGCAAAGUUUAACGUGAAAUUGUUUUGCUACACAGCAAAGGUUCCAAUCUUGAAACAGGUUGAAUUGUUUUCAAGAAAUUCAAGCUCUGGCUCAAUCCACCAAACAAGAUCUGACAUUGAAGCUUUUGAAUAAUUCAAUGGACAUUAAGCAGUCAACAGUAGUGUAAGCCUAGUCAAGCGCAGAUGGUAGCAAAUCUCACAUCAUCAUCCUAUCAGUCACAAAUUCCAUGUCUGGAGAAAUUGAUAGCUUAACAGUUUGUUGUAUACCAUCACAACAAAGAAAAAAGUACGAAUCGAUAAAGGACAUCCACAAUACGUCCGACCGUACCUCAAGAGCCAGUACCAUAGAGACGAGUACGACUAAACGGAUUACACCCACAUACAAAGACACACACGCGUGUACAGCGAAAUAGCUCCAUCUGAUUGUAAGCCAUCCUCGUUGUUUUCUGAAGUUGAUAUUCAGCGAACAACCGAUGAAUACUCGAGAGAACGAUAAAGGGAACAUCUUAAGAUGUGAAGUGUUUCCCGCUCAUUGUCACACAAGCGGAACCGGAUUCUGAUCAAUUAUUCAUACAAUUCAUGGAUUCUAGAGAUUGUCUACCAUUUUCUAGGUUCCAUUUCGGAUUGAAUCACCGUCCGGGUUAUUGAACAGUUACGCUUGUUACGCGUUUAUAGCGUACACGACUUUAAAGCUAUUCAGCAUCCUGAUUUUCCAUACUGUUUCCAUACAUGCACACAAUGUAAAAGGUAAUACAGAAAGGAACGCCAGUUAACCUCUAAGCCCCAACCUCUUCCAUUAGUGCUUCAAAGGGUUCUGCUUAUAAUGAAAACGAAGCGAUACGGUCCUUUCUAAUGGCUGUUGUAAGGUCGCAGGAAUAGAUACGACGAAGGCAACACAAAGUACUUUAUAUCUUACAUGCGUCAUUUGUGUUCCCCUAUUGCUUGGAAGAAGAGAACCAAACGAAUCACUCGCCCAGCAAAAAAGGGGACCGGGGGUAAAUCAAUCAAUCGUAAAACUCUACCAUCUUGUCGUAAGUUUAUCGUUACUUUUCGAAAUGGAUUUCUCAUUCGUUUUUGUCAAAUGGAUCGAGCAGCGUUGAGCGAAACUGUCCAGGAAAUGUCUUCAUAUCAGUUGUUGAUACGUAUUGAAAUGAAAAGAAAUGAAGAUGGUAUUUGGAUAUCGUUUUCGUAUGAUAACAAAAAAAAGAGAAGAAGCACAUACAUAUUUCGCUGAAAAUAGAAGCAUUUCCAACCGAUUGCUGAUAACACUCAACGGAAAACCCCGUUCUUCCUUCCGGACGUGACAGAAAAGUCAUCAUAAUAUUCAUUUUCGAUGAGUUGUACAAGGAAAUGAUGGAGUUAAAAAUAACGAAAAAAAAACCCCUUUCACAUACACCAAAAUAUUGUGGUUCAAGAAAGUAACAAAUACUAAUCUAAAAAAACACACACAAAAUACCCCAACAGUAUCCAAUGCCGGGUUGGCUUCUAUUUCGACAACCAAUCCAAUCAGACUGAAAAUUUAAAUCGUCUAGACGUCGUAAAAAUACGAGGCGAGGUAUGUGGCUGAGGCAACACGAAAGAGAACUGUCGUCCCGGCGAAAACGGCAACACAGUAUACCGAGCAUAACUCGGAUGUCCUUUUUUCCGUGGUUCCGAACCAAACACACUAACGGUGAAAAAUUUAUCACACUGAAGCAGGGGGCACACAUAGCGAAACACACGCGUAAGGCGUUCGUGGCGGAAAGCGAACGAAAACGUUGAAGCAAGGACGAAUGUACCGGAAGUAAGUGUAGAGCACAACGGAAUGGAGCCCUUGAAUUUCCGUCCACACGAAAGAAAAUGAACAGUGAAAUAACCUCACGUCAGUAGUGUGCUCAGGGUAAAAUUGAUUGGGCAAGGUUCAGAAAAGUGCUACAGUUUUUUUUUCUUCGCCCUUUUAUGCGCAGUACCACGGGCACUACGCAAGCCAAUCGAUACACGUCCAGCACAGUGCAGCUGAAGUCAACGUAUCGUUUGUUGAUGAUGGAGGCGGUUAGUUCCAGGACAUUUUUUGAGUUCAUCUUGAAAGAAUUCAUAACACUAUUUUACUACUGGGGAUGAUCUCAAAAUCUCUUCUAUCGAUGUAUGUUCAAAUACCUUGGAAGAUAUGGAUCGAAUCUCGUCUAGACUGGACUUCCGUAAAAAGUACUCAUUACUAUUGGACCAUUAGCGAAAGAUUAGUUUUGGUCUGGCCGCAGUAGGUCGUUGAAUCAGCUUAAGUUUAUGUAUAUUUCGUUUCCUAGAAUAAUAUUUUAGAAAAUUGAGUUCCAAAAUAUCUAUUUAACGCUACUUAAAAGUAAUAAUAGGUCUACGCUACAAAUUUAGAUUCUACAACAGUAAUUUUAAAAUUCAGAAGUCAGUUAUAAGUCAGGCAUCAGCACUACUUCAGGUCCGUCUGUCCGUCUUUAGGACAUCAUGCCUUAUAUUAUUGAAGUAACGCAAAACAUUGUAAAUGAGUUUGAAAAUAAAAGUUAGAUCCAAACGUUCGUGAUAACGUAACGUUAUAUGAACGUUCGGAAUCACGCAUUAAUAACAUUACUUUAAUUUAUUCUCUAAGAAUUCUAUAAAUACAAAGUGUUGAAUAUACAAGAUUCUGAAGUUCUGAAAGCAGGAGUUCUUGCAUGACUGCUUUCGCUAAGAACAUAUUCUUUACUUUCUACAUUAAUACACCAUUUUCGAAAAUGGCAAUUCAGCUCGACUGAUGUAGACAUAUCACCAGCACACGGUAGCAAGUGUAAUCGUGCCCCGUUACGUACAUGCUACAAUCUUGAACCAUCACUCGCAAUCAAACAUCGGCAAAACCUUGGUGAUGAGCAACACCAGCGGAAGUGGCCCUGCUUAUUAUCUUUCCACGGAGAUCCAACCGUACGGGGUGGUUUGAAGUAGUGCUUCAGAUAAAUAAACUAUCAGAGCAAAUGGCAUCCCUUCCCCGAUAGUCUUGCCACCACAAUUCCACAGUUCCUUACCGCAAAUGACUCCGGGUUUUCCGGGAAUUGAUAAUCGCUUUGCGAAUGGAAUAUAAAUUAAUGAAUAUUUAUACCGACUGAUACGCCGGGCGACUGCGCAACUUCUCGCUGUAUCUAGAUGCCACCGAGGCAGUUUUCCGUAAAACAUCUCCCAUCGCUCUCCUCCUGGACAUUCGUCGAGUCGGUACGGCUAGUAAACUACUCCGGCGGUUCUGAUUUCACGCGAGUGCUUAAUCGUACAAUCGGGGCAGCGUCCGAUAUGGAGUGGGGAGUUAGGUUCCCCCAAUCCCGUCGACUUGCGUCCUCCUCCGGGAUGCCAGAGUUCCGUAGAAACAGUGCAGUCUGCUGUGAACAAACACACAGCAGCAGGAGAGUAGAUUUUCUUCUCCUGUUUGGUAUACACUCACGUAGGUGGUCGUAUGCACACCAAUAUCGCGUUGCAAACCUCCGGUUACAGCGAUGGCGGCCAGAUCGGAUAAGCGCAAAACCCUACUACGGCGAAUGUGUUCGUAUGAGUUCAUGCAUGUUUGCAUUUAUCUCGCGGCCCGGGGUCAGCCCGUGGUCAUCCACCCGAUGAUCCGUCGGAAGCGGCAUGAAUGCUCUAUAAAUAAAAACAGCCUAUGUUCUAGCAAUCAGAUAAACCUUCUUUCUUGCGAUCUCUCUUUCUCUCUUUCUCUCUCUCUCUCUCUCUCUCUCUCUCUCUGCCUUAUAAUAACACUGCUAAUGCAUUGUACUGCUGAGCGAUGCACGAUGCAUAUGCAGGCGAAUUGGAGUGUUGUUGCCAUACGGCCAGUAGUGUGCGCGAGAUUGUUCACCAAUCGACACCAUCAUCAAGAAGAGGCCAUGGACUUAAUCUUUCCAUUGCCCUCCCGAUUACCAAACCAUCCUUCCCCGAUCACCCCAACCCGCUGCUGUUGACAGCCGAUAGGAUGGUGAACGAUCAAAAACCACGGCAGAACCUCAUGAUGGUGGUCGCCGUGUGAACGUGUUCCCAGUGACAUAUGGGAUAUCAUAUCGAUGAAUCUCGACCCCUUGCCGAUAUUCCUGACCUGCCCGACUGGGACUGACGAAACCACAACGUCAACAUUUCACGGUAACACCUCGCGAACUGUGAUUGCAACACUAUUGCAACAGAAAAUGGGUGGUUUUAUUCAAGCGCAUCAAUCAAGGAUGCAACGCAAAAUUGAAAAAUCAAAUUCGUAUCGAAAGGAGUCGUUGACAGUAUGACCGAAUGAUAAUGUGCGAUCGUACCUCGCAAGGAAGCGGAAUGCACUGCGUCGGUAAUGUGCGAAUGAUUUAUUCAUACACCGUUAAACGAAGCAGAGCGAAUUGUGUUACGAUGUGUGAUUUUAUAAUGAUUUGCGUUCGGUUUCUAAAGUCGUUUCGUUACCACAUAAAUGGUUGCUAGAUUCAGGUUUGCCGUUUAAUGGCAAAAUUGAUAUAAAGUUAUUUCACUCCUAAAACA